UACGUAGGGGGCAAGCGUUGUCCGGAUUUAUUGGGCGUAAAGAGCGUGUAGGCGGCCAUACAGGUCAGCUGUGAAAACUCGAGGCUCAACCUCGAGACGUCGGUUGAAACCGUAUGGCUAGAGUCCGGAAGAGGAGAGUGGAAUUCCUGGUGUAGCGGUGAAAUGCGUAGAUAUCAGGAGGAACACCGGUGGUGUAGACGGCUCUCUGGACCGUAACUGACGCUGAGACACGAAAGCGUGGGUAGCAAACAGG
rnacentral:rRNA from 1 species